GACGAACGCUGGCGGCGUGCUUAACACAUGCAAGUCGAACGGUGAUCUUGAGAGCUUGCCCUUGGGUGAUCAGUGGCGAACGGGUGAGUAACACGUGAGUAACCUGCCCCUGACUCUGGAAUAACUUCGGGAAACCGAAGCUAAUACCGGAUAUGACACAGAAUCGCAUGGUUUCUGUGUGGAAAGUUUUUUCGGUUGGGGAUGGACUCGCGGCCUAUCAGCUUGUUGGUGAGGUGAUGGCUCACCAAGGCGACGACGGGUAGCCGGCCUGAGAGGGCGACCGGCCACACUGGGACUGAGACACGGCCCAGACUCCUACGGGAGGCAGCAGUGGGGAAUAUUGCACAAUGGGCGAAGCCUAAUGCAGCGACGCCGCGUGAGGGAUGAAGGCCUUCGGGUUGUAAACCUCUUUCAGUAGGGAAGAAGCGCAAGUGACGGUACCUACAGAAGAAGCACCGGCUAACUACGUGCCAGCAGCCGCCGUAAUAC
rnacentral:rRNA from 1 species